rnacentral:rRNA from 1 species
GUUUAAGGAUAAGCUGUGAAUGUACCAAGUUUACUUGGAAAUUGUGUGAUUUCACGCUGCUGAAAAAAGUUUCGUAGGAAGAAAAUAUUGCCCGUACCGCAAACCGACACAGGUACUCAAGUGGAGAACACUAAGGUGAGCGAGUGAACUAUUGUUAAGGAACUCUGCAAAAUGAGUCCGUAACUUCGGAAGAAGGACUGCUGGUUUUAUACCAGCCGCAGCAAAUAGGCCCAAACAACUGUUUAUCAAAAACACAGGUUUCUGCAAAAUCGUAAGAUGAAGUAUAGGGGCUGACGCCUGCCCAGUGCUGGAAGGUUAAAAGGAGGACUUAGCUUCGGCGAAGGUCUUAAUUGAAGCCCCAGUGAACGGCGGCCGUAACUAUAACGGUCCUAAGGUAGCGAAAUUCCUUGUCGGGUAAGUUCCGACCCGCAUGAAAGGCGUAAUGAUUUGGGCGCUGUCUCAACAAUAGACUCGGUGAAAUUUAAAUUCCAGUGAAGAUGCUGGGUACCCGCGACAGGACGGAAAGACCCCGUGGAGCUUUACUGUAGCUUGAUAUUGAAUGUUUGUGCUGCAUGUGCAGGAUAGGUAGGAGACUUUGAAGUCGGAACGCUAGUUUCGAUUGAGUCACCCUUGAGAUACUACCUCUGUUGUAUGAACGUUCUAACUCUGAUCAGUUAUCCUGAUCGAAGACAGUGUCUGGCAGGCAGUUUGACUGGGGCGGUCGCCUCCUAAAAGAUAACGGAGGCGCUCAAAGGUUUGCUCAGAAUGGUUGGAAAUCAUUCGUAGCGUGUAAAGGCAUAAGCAAGCUUGACUGUGAGACUGACAAGUCGAGCAGGUACGAAAGUAGGACUUAGUGAUCCGGUGGUUCCGUAUGGAAGGGCCAUCGCUCAACGGACAAAAGCUACCCCGGGGAUAACAGGCUCAUCUCCCCCAAGAGUCCACAUCGACGGGGAGGUUUGGCACCUCGAUGUCGGCUCAUCGCAUCCUGGGGCUGUAGUCGGUCCCAAGGGUUGGGCUGUUCGCCCAUUAAAGCGGUACGCGAGCUGGGUUCAGAACGUCGUGAGACAGUUCGGUCCCUAUCCGUCGUGGGCGCAGGAAAUUUGAGAGGAUCUGUCCUUAGUACGAGAGGACCGGGAUGGACAUACCUCUGGUGUACCAGUUGUUCUGCCAAGAGCACCGCUGGGUAGCUACGUAUGGAUUAGAUAAUCGCUGAAAGCAUCUAAGUGAGAAACUAACCUCGAGAUGAGAUUUCCCAUUCGUCAGAAGUAAGACCCCUGAGAGACGAUCAGGUAGAUAGGCUAGAAGUGGAAGUGUAGUGAUGCAUGGAGCGGACUAGUACUAAUAGGUCGAGGACUUAACCAAG